AGUGAACGCUGGCGGUAGGCCUAACACAUGCAAGUCGAACGGCAGCACAGUAAGAGCUUGCUCUUACGGGUGGCGAGUGGCGGACGGGUGAGGAAUACAUCGGAAUCUACUUUUUCGUGGGGGAUAACGUAGGGAAACUUACGCUAAUACCGCAUACGACCUACGGGUGAAAGCAGGGGAUCUUCGGACCUUGCGCGAUUGAAUGAGCCGAUGUCGGAUUAGCUAGUUGGCGGGGUAAAGGCCCACCAAGGCGACGAUCCGUAGCUGGUCUGAGAGGAUGAUCAGCCACACUGGAACUGGAACGCGGUCCAGACUCCUACGGGAGGCGGCAGUGGGGAAUAUUGGACAAUGGGCGCAAGCCUGAUCCAGCCAUACCGCGUGGGUGAAGAAGGCCUUCGGGUUGUAAAGCCCUUUUGUUGGGAAAGAAAAGCAGCAGGUUAAUACCCCGCUGUUCUGACGGUACCCAAAGAAUAAGCACCGGCUAACUUCGUG
rnacentral:rRNA from 1 species